CACAUGCCCUAUCUGGGGCGGCUCUGAGCCUACGAAGGCACUGGAGGCGGGCCUUAAGCAUCCCAAUAGUCAUCUCUGCCCCGGCUGGAGUCCUGCAGUGAGCCAAGCCGGGCUCAGGAUCAGGGGUCAGCAAAUACGGCUGGCAGGGGUACCCUCUGUCACCCAGCAGGGGGACGCCGGAGAUGAUGAGCUGCUGAAGCACCAACUGGCCGAUCCGGAGAUGAAGGAAGCCCAGAUGAUCAGCUGGCUGCAGGAGUUCAGACGUUGCGAGACUCAGCUAACGAAGGACCACGAACAGCUGAUUUAUACUAUCUUGAUGGUACGUCCUUCCUCAGACUUGCUUGCAGAUGUUGAGUGAAAUCACAUGGCCACGAUGAAAGGUGACACUCAUCAGG